CAGGAUGAACGCUGGCGGCGUGCCUAAUACAUGCAAGUCGAGCGAACAGACGAGGAGCUUGCUCCUCUGACGUUAGCGGCGGACGGGUGAGUAACACGUGGAUAACCUACCUAUAAGACUGGGAUAACUUCGGGAAACCGGAGCUAAUACCGGAUAAUAUAUUGAACCGCAUGGUUCAAUAGUGAAAGACGGUUUUGCUGUCACUUAUAGAUGGAUCCGCGCCGCAUUAGCUAGUUGGUAAGGUAACGGCUUACCAAGGCAACGAUGCGUAGCCGACCUGAGAGGGUGAUCGGCCACACUGGAACUGAGACACGGUCCAGACUCCUACGGGAGGCAGCAGUAGGGAAUCUUCCGCAAUGGGCGAAAGCCUGACGGAGCAACGCCGCGUGAGUGAUGAAGGUCUUCGGAUCGUAAAACUCUGUUAUUAGGGAAGAACAAAUGUGUAAGUAACUAUGCACGUCUUGACGGUACCUAAUCAGAAAGCCACGGCUAACUACGUGCCAGCAGCCGCGGUAAUACGUAGGUGGCAAGCGUUAUCCGGAAUUAUUGGGCGUAAAGCGCGCGUAGGCGGUUUUUUAAGUCUGAUGUGAAAGCCCACGGCUCAACCGUGGAGGGUCAUUGGAAACUGGAAAACUUGAGUGCAGAAGAGGAAAGUGGAAUUCCAUGUGUAGCGGUGAAAUGCGCAGAGAUAUGGAGGAACACCAGUGGCGAAGGCGACUUUCUGGUCUGUAACUGACGCUGAUGUGCGAAAGCGUGGGGAUCAAACAGGAUUAGAUACCCUGGUAGUCCACGCCGUAAACGAUGAGUGCUAAGUGUUAGGGGGUUUCCGCCCCUUAGUGCUGCAGCUAACGCAUUAAGCACUCCGCCUGGGGAGUACGACCGCAAGGUUGAAACUCAAAGGAAUUGACGGGGACCCGCACAAGCGGUGG
rnacentral:rRNA from 1 species